rnacentral:rRNA from 1 species
GAUGAACGCUGGCGGCGUGCCUAAUACAUGCAAGUCGAGCGAACAGACGAGGAGCUUGCUCCUCUGACGUUAGCGGCGGACGGGUGAGUAACACGUGGAUAACCUACCUAUAAGACUGGGAUAACUUCGGGAAACCGGAGCUAAUACCGGAUAAUAUAUUUAACCGCAUGGUUCAAUAGUGAAAGACGGUUUUGCUGUCACUUGUAGAUGGAUCCGCGCCGCAUUAGCUAGUUGGUAAGGUAACGGCUUACCAAGGCAACGUUGCGUAGCCGACCUGAGAGGGUGAUCGGCCACACUGGAACUGAGACACGGUCCAGACUCCUACGGGAGGCAGCAGUAGGGAAUCUUCCGCAAUGGGCGAAAGCCUGACUGAGCAACGCCGCGUGAGUGAUGAAGGUCUUCGGAUCGUAAAACUCUGUUAUUAGGGAAGAACAAAUGUGUAAGUAACUAUGCACGUCUUGACGGUACCUAAUCAGAAAGCCACGGCUAACUACGUG